AAUCCCCCCCUCCUUCGCUCUCCAGUAUGGAUGACCAGCUCUGCGGGGGCUGACCCGUUUUUCUGAAGGGGGCCGCUUGGCUGCGGGUGACAGGCAAGCCACCGCUCUGGAAGAUGAACCCCCAACCCAUCAGGUCUUUCCCAGCCUCUUUCACAUCAUCCUCCAUCCACCUUCCAAUCAUCACUUAUGAGUUUCCCUUGUUGCAGCUGAAGAAAAGGCUCCCCACAGCAUGAUACUACCAUCAUCAUGUUAAACAUACUAAAGUGCAUACAAGCUGACAUGCAAGAGAGGUGAGCCAGGGUCCGUGUGAGAGGCAGGGGGUGAAGCUGCAGAGGACGGAGCAGCUUCUGUCCGUGUGAAUCGGAAGGACGAUUAGGGGCUUAUUAGCGGCCCAGGGAGAAGUGUAAGUUGUUGGGGAGUGAGCAGGCAGAGCCCCGGCGACAUCUCCAGCCGAGAACAAUCCGAGCCAUUGUCUCACCUAAUUACAGCGGAUGGACUUCUUUUUGUUUCCCAUUCUCCAUGCCUGUCUGGUUCCCUUUUUUCACCCGGCCACAGACUCAGACAAUGCUGAAGUGUGCUAAUUAGAAAAGAAAUGGUCUUCGUAAUUAUGUCAACUCUUAUUAACCAUGGCCACAAUGAGUAAUAUUAUUUCUACGCAAUGUUUUGUGUAGAGGACCCAGCUUCCAAUGCUCAUUAAACAGAAAGCAAGGCCUUGUGAGCCGGGUAGAACUCUAAUAUCUGGGUCUCUUCAAUGAGGACAGGAGGAAGGUGCUGCAUUUUGAUG